rnacentral:rRNA from 1 species
GAUGAACGCUGGCGGCGUGCCUAAUACAUGCAAGUCGAGCGAACGGACGAGAAGCUUGCGUCUCUGAUGUUAGCGGCGGACGGGUGAGUAACACGUGGAUAACCUACCUAUAAGACUGGGAUAACUUCGGGAAACCGGAGCUAAUACCGGAUAAUAUUUUGAACCGCAUGGUUCAAAAGUGAAAGACGGUCUUGCUGUCACUUAUAGAUGGAUCCGCGCUGCAUUAGCUAGUUGGUAAGGUAACGGCUUACCAAGGCAACGAUGCAUAGCCGACCUGAGAGGGUGAUCGGCCACACUGGAACUGAGACACGGUCCAGACUCCUACGGGAGGCAGCAGUAGGGAAUCUUCCGCAAUGGGCGAAAGCCUGACGGAGCAACGCCGCGUGAGUGAUGAAGGUCUUCGGAUCGUAAAACUCUGUUAUUAGGGAAGAACAUCUGUGUAAGUAACUGUGCACAUCUUGACGGUACCUAAUCAGAAAGCCCCGGCUAACUACGUG